rnacentral:lncRNA from 1 species
AAAUACCUCUCAUUAUCGGAGGAACCCACUGAGCAUGUCCAUCUUCAUCAGUGUGCUAUGGUGAGACCAGGGCAUCUGAGGAUGGUCUGAAAUGAGGAAGACUCAGGCCAACUCUGAUUCUCUAUACAGGCUGACCCCUAUGGCCUACUAAGAAUGAAUAAUUAAAACUCUAGGAAUCCCAGGGUUUGUUGGAGUUCAGGGUUGUCGCUGAGUGGUGGAAAUAUUGUUCUCAACCAAAAAAAAAAAAAAAAAUGUGGGGAUUACAUGCCAGUACCAUCCACCCCUGCAUUAGAAGUUUUCAUCGAAGAGCUUCAUUUCACAAGCUUUCAGCGUUGAUCUCACCUCCUCGAAGAUGACACAUCUGAUCCCUCUGUCUAAGAUAACAUCUUUAACAUUAAGAAAUCUCAAGUUUUCCAUUUGAGAAAUCUUCUGGAUUCUGCAUUCCAGUGGUUCCACUGAAGCCAGUAGGGCUGAAUACCCCAUGUAGGAACAGACUCAGCACAAGAAUGUAGGUUCUACAUUCUUAUCAUUUCAUUCCCCAUGCCCUAACCAAUCAGUGAUCCCAAUUCCUCAGCCCACUAUUCUCCAAAAUUUCCUUAAAUAUGCCCAUCCAAAACCCCUCAGGGAAGCAGAUUUGAGGUUCCCUUCAGUUCCCUUCUUUGGUUGCCCUAUGAUUAUUAAACUAUUUCUCUACUGCAACUCUUGCUGUUUCAG